GACGAACGCUGGCGGCGUGCCUAAUACAUGCAAGUAGAACGCUGAAGGAGGAUCUUGCUUCUCUGGAUGAGUUGCGAACGGGUGAGUAACGCGUAGGUAACCUGCCUGGUAGCGGGGGAUAACUAUUGGAAACGAUAGCUAAUACCGCAUAAUAUUGACUAUUGCAUGAUAGUCAGUUGAAAGGUGCAACAGCACCACUACCAGAUGGACCUGCGUUGUAUUAGCUAGUUGGUGGGGUAACGGCUCACCAAGGCGACGAUACAUAGCCGACCUGAGAGGGUGAUCGGCCACACUGGGACUGAGACACGGCCCAGACUCCUACGGGAGGCAGCAGUAGGGAAUCUUCGGCAAUGGACGGAAGUCUGACCGAGCAACGCCGCGUGAGUGAAGAAGGUUUUCGGAUCGUAAAGCUCUGUUGUAAGAGAAGAACGAGUGUGAGAGUGGAAAGCUCACACUGUGACGGUAUCUUACAAGAAAGGGACGGCUAACUACGUG
rnacentral:rRNA from 1 species